rnacentral:rRNA from 1 species
GAAAGGCGGCUUUCGAGCUGUCGCUUUUGGAUGGACCCGCGGCGUAUUAGCUAGUUGGUGAGGUAAAGGCUCACCAAGGCAGUGAUACGUAGCCGACCUGAGAGGGUGAUCGGCCACAUUGGGACUGAGACACGGCCCAAACUCCUACGGGAGGCAGCAGUAGGGAAUCUUCCACAAUGGACGAAAGUCUGAUGGAGCAACGCCGCGUGAGUGAAGAAGGUUUUCGGAUCGUAAAACUCUGUUGUUGGAGAAGAACACGUUUGAGAGUAACUGUUCAGACGUUGACGGUAUCCAACCAGAAAGCCACGGCUAACUACGUGCCAGCAGCCGCGGUAAUACGUAGGUGGCAAGCGUUAUCCGGAUUUAUUGGGCGUAAAGCGAGCGCAGGCGGUUUCUUAAGUCUGAUGUGAAAGCCUUCGGCUUAACCGAAGAAGUGCAUCGGAAACUGGGAAACUUGAGUGCAGAAGAGGACAGUGGAACUCCAUGUGUAGCGGUGAAAUGCGUAGAUAUAUGGAAGAACACCAGUGGCGAAGGCGGCUGUCUGGUCUGUAACUGACGCUGAGGCUCGAAAGCAUGGGUAGCGAACAGGAUUAGAUACCCUGGUAGUCCAUGCCGUAAACGAUGAAUGCUAGGUGUUGGAGGGUUUCCGCCCUUCAGUGCCGCAGCUAACGCAUUAAGCAUUCCGCCUGGGGAGUACGACCGCAAGGUUGAAACUCAAAGGAAUUGACGGGGGCCCGCACAAGCGGUGGAGCAUGUGGUUUAAUUCGAAGCAACGCGAAGAACCUUACCAGGUCUUGACAUCCUAUGCCAAUCUGAGAGAUCAGACGUUCCCUUCGGGGACAUAGUGACAGGUGGUGCAUGGUUGUCGUCAGCUCGUGUCGUGAGAUGUUGGGUUAAGUCCCGCAACGAGCGCAACCCUUAUGACUAGUUGCCAGCAUUCAGUUGGGCACUCUAGUAAGACUGCCGGUGACAAACCGGAGGAAGGUGGGGACGACGUCAAAUCAUCAUGCCCCUUAUGACCUGGGCUACACACGUGCUACAAUGGAUGGUACAACGAGUUGCGAACCCGCGAGGGCAAGCUAAUCUCUUAAAGCCAUUCUCAGUCCGGACUGUAGGCUGCAACUCGCCUACACGAAGUCGGAAUCGCUAGUAAUCGCGGAUCAGCAUGCCGCGGUGAAUACGUUCCCGGGCCUUGUACACACCGCCCGUCACA